UACGUAGGGUGCAAGCGUUAAUCGGAAUCACUGGGCGUAAAGCGCACGUAGGCGGCUUCUUAAGUCAGGGGUGAAAUCCUGGAGCUCAACUCCAGAACUGCCUUCGAUACUGAGAGUCUCGAGUCCGAGAGAGGUGAGUGGAACUGCGAGUGUAGAGGUGAAAUUCGUAGAUAUUCGCAAGAACACCAGUGGCGAAGGCGGCUCACUGGCCCGAUACUGACGCUGAGGCACGAAAGCGUGGGGAGCAAACAGG
rnacentral:rRNA from 1 species